CGGGGGUAUUUCCAUGACCUGAUGGGCAGCUUCCGGGAAACCAAAGUUUUUGGGUUCCGGGGGAAGUAUGGUUGCAAAGCUGGAACUUAAAGGAAUUGACGGAAGGGCACCACCAGGAGUGGAGCCUGUGGCUUAAUUUGACUCAACGCGGGGAAGCUCACGAGGCCCGGACACUGGAAGGAUUGACAGAUUGAGAGCUCUUUCUUGAUUCGGUGGGUGGUGGUGCAUGGCCGUUCUUAGUUGGUGGAGUGAUUUGUCUGGUUAAUUCCGAUAACGAACGAGACUCUGGCUUACUAAAUAGGCGGCGGAUCUUUGUAGGUCCGCUAUGUCUUCUUAGAGGGAUAAGGCAGCUCUAAGCUGCAUGAGAAGGGGCAAUAACAGGUCUGUGAUGCCCUUAGAUGUUCUCGGCCGCACACGCGCUACACUGAAAGAGGCAACGUGUUUGCCUGAUUCGAAAGAAUUGGGUAACCCCCAUAAUCUCUUUCGUGCUGGGGAUUGAGGUUUGCAAUUAUCCUUCAUGAACGAGGAAUUCCCAGUAAGUGCGAGUCAUUAUCUCGCGCUGACUACGUCCCUGCCCUUUGUACACACCGCCCGUCGCUACUACCGAUUGAAUGAUUUAGUGAGGACUUCGGACUGAGUCCAAUGCGGCUUUCGGGCUGCGUUGGUAUUUCGGAAAGAUGUCCAAACUGUAUCAUUUAGAGGAAGUAAAAGU
rnacentral:rRNA from 1 species